GUGUGUGUGUGUGUGUGUUGUGUGUGUGUUGUGUGUGUGUGUGUGUGUGUGUGCGCGUGUGUAUGUGACUAUGGAGGAUAACUUUCUGCACAUAGUAUCAUAUCCACACAUGGGCCAGGGAAGGCCAUUUUUUGUACAUCGAAGGCACGGGACCUUGCCAUUGCCAUGCCCAUGACAAACAACAUACAUUCACUCAGAAUUUUACUCACUCCCUACAAUGUUCUGCCUUCAGACCUCUCCCAGUGGCUUAGGAAGGGAGUUCAUUUAAUAGCACAGUAUCAGCCUAGCACCCUCACCUGUAACCCUCGGGCAGCCUACAGAGUGGCCUUUGUUAUCCUCUUCUCCUUCACGCUGUAGCUGCGUCUGUGUCUCAGGUACAGAAGAGGGCUUGAGGCAACGUUAUGACAUCACUUAGCCAACAUACGCAGUCGUGGGAACUCAAUAACUGCCUUCCCCAAACAGUCUUCAGAGUUAUUUCUUUUUCAUUUUCAAAUCUCUUUGUCUGUCUGUCUGCCUGCCUGUCUGUCUGUCCACCUCCUCUUUCUGUGUGUCUGUGUGUCUGUGUGUGUGCGCGCGCGUGCGUGAGCGCGUACAGUCCCACGUGUGUGCAGGUGAAUUUCUGUAUGAAUGUGUUGAGGCCCAAACUUAGCAUCAGGUGGCCUCCUCCGCCUCUUCCCACCUUAUAUAUUAUGGUAAGGUCUCUUCACCAUUGGUUCUGGGGAUCCAAACUCUAGUCCUCAUUCUGAGUCCCCUCCCUCCCUCUUUUGUAGUUAUUUCCAGUUAUUUCCAAAUGACAAGAAGACCAGGUUCUACAAUGUCAGCGUAAAGAAAACGCUCUCAUCUCACCUCUGUGCUGGGUCCCAAAGAGCAGGGCCUGGUUCUACCUAUUACGUCUCACGGGGUAGUGACUUCUUUACUUUGGAUCGUCUCCCUUGGCUCCUGCCACCGUGGACAACUGAGCCAGUCCCAGCAGGCUGCUGCGGAGGAAGGAUUCCAUCAGCCUGGACUUUGUGCUCGGAAGCCCGUCAUCUGGGCCAGCCUGGUUGGCCCAGAGGUCUUCCUGAAUCAUCCUAAAUAACUGCUUGAUGUCACCUGAGUGUGAAGAAUCUUUGAAGCGCGACGGGAUACCAAACUUCGAACCCCUUAGCUUUUUCCAUCGUUAAAGUGUUGGUCUUGAAACUUCUAACCAGACUUGAUCCAUCUUUGCCUUGAACCCACGGCAUGACAUUCUGCCUUCCGUGGCAUUUCCUGAGCUUCCGGUAAUUGGAGAGAGGAGGGGGCGGGGCGGGGGUGGGGGUGGGAGAGACUGUGGUUUCCUGCAAAGCCUGAUCCGACACCUUCUAGGAUCAAAACAAAAGAGAAAAAUCCUCCAUCUUCUUGUCUUACCCAUCCAAACCGGCUGUUAGCCCGGGUAGCACAGCAUCGCUGAGGGCUGAGCCCGUUUGCGAUUUUCUGGGCUUACCACACUUCUGUCAUGUAGGAAGUGAUUUUGACUAGUCGGGGCAGGUUCUCUAUUGUCCUGGACACGGUGGCAGUGAUUCACAGCUCAGGGAUUUGCAAUACUCUAUUGCUGCAUGUUCUUUCUUCCUUCUUCCUAAUGAUGCAUUCAAUUGAAGAAUUCAUCCUUGGGUAUUUGUGCUGACAUGGACAGAAAACAGAAGUCAAAACAUCGUAAUAGUUAACGAGAUUGUUCUGGUGAGACGCUUUGGACCAGCACAGCAGGAGGAGACACGUUAUGAAGUCUGGAUCAUUACAGUGAGCCUGAGUAUGAAUGGCUGAGUGUUACUACACACAUCCCACAGAUCAGUGGAUGAUAGUUAGACCACACAUCACGACUGGCAACAGAGUGUGAACAGGAGGGGAACAAUUUCUCAGAUGUGAUGGCUACCAUCUACAAGAGCAAAAAUAAGUCCCAUUUCCCACUCUAGGAAUCUACCUACUGGGCAGAGACAAAUUGGACUUGUAGGAACAAAUUGUUCAGUCUGUCCCCACCAGGUCCAAACACAAUAGCUUGUGGGUAAAAAGACAUGUUUCGUCUGGUUGAUGCUGGAAGGCUGCCUGGAGGAGGCUAGAUUUGAGGUGAGUGAAGGAUGGGCAAGACUUUUACAAGUGUUUGCAAGGACAAAGUGAUCUGGGUGGAACUUCAGAGAAAUACAGAUUCCUAGGUUUGACAUCAGCCUCCCAGGGAUGAGGCCCUGUGCAUGCAGCUGGGAUGUGAAACUGGAAUUAGGGGCCAGUCAGGAGGCUCAGGUCCGUUGAGAGACUAUGAACAGACAUUUGAGGGGACAUCUUGGAGCUGUGAUUGGGCGAGCUAGUUAUUUCUCAGCUAAUCAGAAGAAUUAAAUGAAGCGGGGGUUGGGGAUUUAGCUCAGUGGUAGAGCACUUGCCUAGCAAGCGCAAGGCCCUGGGUUCGGUCCCCAGCUCCGAAAAAAAGAAAAGAAAAGAAAAAAAAAAGAAUUAAAUGAAGCACAGUUUUUGGGUUACCCUGACGAUAAAAUUCUUGGAUGCGAAGGCUGUUAAAACUGCUGAGAUUUUUAUCUGACAAGGCAAGGGCUUUCUGCGGAAGAAGGGAUACAGUUUAAAAGGCAAGCCACCGUCAGCAUGGUGGUGUAUACUCAUGAUCCCAGCACGGAGGCAGAAAGAAGAAUCAGAACUCUGAGGUGAACUUGGGCUCUGUAGCCAGAACCUACCUCAAAAAUCAAAAGGCAUCUGGGUGUGGUGGUGCACACCUUUCAUCCCAGCACUCAAAAGGCAGAGGCAGGUGAAUCUCUGAGUUCGAGGAAAGUCUGGUUUACAGCCUGGGAAAGCCAGGGGCUACACAGAGAAAUGCUGUCUCAAAACCGUCCCCGCAAAGCAAACGUGAGACACAAAGCAUGUUAAGACACUCACCCAAAACAACAACAAAAGAGGAUGCAUAAUUUCCUCCGGCUAAACCAGUGGUAGACAACUGUUUCCUGUAAAGAACCAGAAAGUAAAUGCUUUGGAUUGCACAGACCAUAUGGUCUCUGUCACAGCUUUCAGUCCAUUCCAGUGUAGAACAAACACAAUGUUGGACAAUGAACGUACAAACGAAUAAGCAUGUCUAUCUCCCAACAAAACUUUUUGGAUGCUGAAAUAGAAUUUUUUUUUUUUUUUUUUUGGUUUUUUUUUUUCGGAGCUGGGGACCGAACCCAGGGCCUUGCGCUUCCUAGGUAAGCGCUCUACCACUGAGCUAAAUCCCCAGCCCCUAAAAUAGAAUUUUAUGCAGCGUGCCCAUGUUACAGGAUGCUGCUCUUUAAAAUUUUUGCUUUCAACCAUUUAAAAAUAUAGAUUCUUGGGCUUGGGAUAAAUCCCUAUACGGAGAUAAGCAAAUGCUUAUCAAAUAUGCACAAAGCCUUGGGCGUGAUCCCUAGCAUGGUAAAAAUAAAGAAAAGUAAAUAAAUUCUUAUUAUUCCCAGUAGCCCAGAGAUGGAAACGAACUCGAAUGCCUACCAGCGCUGUACACAUACUUUUUGGGCAAGCAUUCAGUCUUAGCCUGAAGGACAUUAUGCUAAGUGAAACAAGCCAGCCGAGGAUAGACAAAUAUUGAAUGACUCUGCUUACAUGAAGCCUCUCAUCACAUUCACAGAAGCAAGAAGUAGAAGGAGACUUACCAACGGCUUGUGGUGGGGUAGGGGUGAGGGUGAAGGCUGGUUAAUGGUUACAGAAUUUCAGUUUUACGAGAUGAAAGCAUUGUGGGGAUUAGGUUCCUAACAAAGCAAGCACACCGUGACAGGACUGAACCAGACAUUUAAAACAGGUACAUCUUAUUGCUGUUAUUUUCAAAGCUACAAUUAAAAAGAGGUGAAUUCUUCCGCUUAAGCCUGGCAGAUCUUGUUAUUUUUUUUUCAAACUAUAAUUACAAAGGAAAAAGAGAGUCUUCUUCAGCCUCGAUACACAGGAACAGGCCGUAGACUCUGACACGGUCCAAAUCUAUGCUUCUCAGCAUCCCCAGCAAGUUCUCUAACAGCAAGGAGUGGGGAAGGCCAGCUCCUGAAAGGCUACCCACAAGUCUAGGAAACUCCUUUAAAUGUGCUUUGAAAUGAAAUCCAUGAACAUUUUUAAACCCUAGUCCAUAAUGCAGCCUGUCUUAAAGUAAACUUGGCUUUCACUGCUCCGAAAGAAAAAAGAAAUUGGUAGAAACUGUUGCUUGUCCAGGCUCAGUGAAGCCGGAAGGGUCCUUCAGUGAACACUUUCCCCAGUCUGGGCUGCCUUUCCAUCAGUCCGUUUGCCUCUCCGUUCCCAAACACCAAUCCCUGAGGCACCCCAAAUACUGAAACCUCUUCAAAGUAAUGAUGGCUAGACAUUCUCUCCAGAAUGACUAAUGCUCAAGUGUCUAAUAAUUAUUUUGUUCUAGAAUGUUUUAGGUUGAUUUCCUCUCCCACACUAAUCAUACUUUCUUAUCUACCUUCAAUUCUUUUCCCUUUUUGAAUUUUUUUUCUUCUUCUUCAGUGCUGGAGAUUGAAUUCACAUCUUUGUACAAGCGAGGCAAGUACUUUACCCCCAAGCUAAAUCUCUAAGAAGACCUGAGCAUCUCAUUUCUAGAGCUUGCUUUCUGAGCCGCUGUACAGACGUCCUCCAAUCUUCCCCAAGAGAGUGUUGUACCACUCACACAUGAUGAACCUUUCUUGAUGAAACUGCCCCUGAAACCCAUGGUUCACCUCAUGGCUCAUUCCUGAUGGUAAUUUGUGAUUACAGGUACCCACCAGUAUAGCUUCAUAUGGAGCAGUUCAUGGCUGUCCCCCAACCCCUGGUGACCACAACUUUCUCACUGCCCCAAUAGUUCUGCCUUUUCUGGAACAGGUAGGCUCCUACAGCAAGUAGCCCCUUCAGAGGAGCUUCUCUCAAGUGGAUACUUUCUAAAAUAAAGAGCAACAUGUGUUCAUAAGUGUGUGAGCUUCUGAAUUGGAUGAUUCUCUGAAGUUUACAUUCGGCAUUCAGCUCACACCAACAGCUGGACACUAUAGGGACACAGUCUCAGUUUUGCUGAGUGACAGGAGAAGCCAACUUGAUUUUAAAUGAAAGUCUCCAAAGUAGAAAAUUAGCUGUGGAAAAUCAGGGUUUGAUAGACAGCCCCCUUCCCCAUAAUUCCUCCUGUUUCACAUCUUACCCUGACCUGCUUUCCCCCCACACCAUUGUCUCUUCUCAGAGUACUGGGGAGCCUGGUCCUCUUCCGACAGGUACCUGCAGGUGUGUGUGGGGGGGGGGGGGGUGUGAGUAUUAGCAUCCCUGAAUCCAAUCUAGAACCUUUAAGAGUAACAAGAUAACUCAUAAACAAGUAAUCUUUCAGAGAGAUAGCAAGUGCUAGAAGUGAGGGGGGAAAGGCAAGGAAAUGUCAGAAUGUGGUCCUCCUGACCUGGAGACUGGGUGGUGGUCUGGGAUGCGUAUGCUGUGGCUAGUUUUCAAAGCACCCCUUACCUCAAUGUGAUUCUAUUAUUGGGGAGCUUACGAUCACACCAGACACAUUGAGGGGAGGGCGUAAGGGCAAUUAGGGUUUUAAAUGAGCCCUGUACCCUCAUGUUGAACAUUCUGGAUUGAAAACCACUGGUUUGAAAGCUUCAAAGAGUGAGGGCAUGGGACUGGAAGGUUCUGGAAGGCUGGGGCCUGGGAGAACUGUGUAGAUGUUUUUUUUUUAAUUAUUGGAGUCUUUUAUUAUUAUUAUUUAUUUUUUCCCCGGAGCUGAGGACCCAACCAAGGGCCUUGUGCUUGCUAGGCAAGCGCUCUACCACUGAGCUAAAUACCCAACCAGAUGGUUUGUUAAUAAGAGACUCAUUCCCUUCUGCAUCCUCAGAGCAAUGCCCAACUCUCCAAUCAGAUCCUGGCCAGUGCCCCGGG